rnacentral:tRNA from 5 species
GGCCCCAUCGUCUAGGGGUUAGGACACUAGCUUUUCAAGCUAAGAACCGGGGUUCGAUUCCCCGUGGGGCUA